GAAUCAACCAUGGUCUUGAUUGAACAUACACAAAAUCAGUCAGCAUCUUGCAGUUGCCAGUUGCCCGUCCCCAAUAGAAAGUAAACUGGUUAGUACAGGGGUGGCAUGGUGAUGGAUUGGUUAGUGCAUCCACCUCACAGUGCAGAGGUGCAGCGUUCAAUUCCAGUUCCGGCCUUCCUUAUGUAGAGUUUACAUUUUCUCCCUGUGCCUGUGUGGGUUUUCCCCGGGUAUUCAGGUUUCCUACCACAAUUCAAAAAACGUGCAUGGCAAGUUAAUAGGGCACUCUAAAUUGUCCCUCGGUGUGAGUGUGAGCGCAAAUGGUUGAUCGUCUAUGUGUGCUCUGCAAUUGACUGGCAACCAGUUCAGGAUGUUUUCCGCCUACUGCCCAAUGGCGGCUGUGAUUGGCUCGGGCACGCUCGCAACCCUCGUGAGGAAAAGCGGAUAAGACAUGGAUGGCUUCGUCGAACUUUGGCCGUCAGGACAGAUGGACGAGUCUACGUGUGAGGGGAACGAUUGAUGUUGAAAAUUAUUUGUACCGAAAUCUGAAGAAAGAAGAGGACCAAGUGUUGGCGGCCAACACUGAGAUGGCGUCAGAAGAUGGUCUACCUGCUUGUGGUCGCUGUUGCACUGACUGUGUCUCGUCGUCCAGGUCCUCCUCUGCACGCGAAAAAAAAUUGAAAUUAAUUUUGACUUUCAUUUGUUAAAUUGUGACAGUACUGAUACUACACCUUUUC